GCAAGCCUGGGCUUCGAUGACCAGACAUCACCUUUUCCUCCUGGGGACAGAGCCAAUGGCCCUGUCUCUCAUCCCUCAGCAUGGGGUCAGCAGACACCGGAGAGGAAACCAAGUUUGUGGAAGUCAAACCUUGCCAUGAGUGAGUGAGGCUCACACAGUGCCUCUAUGCUUCCCAAGGAAGACUGGAUGCUUCCAGAGUCUGGCGUCUUUAAUGACACAGGCAGUUCCUCUGUCUGAGCCACUGAGUUCCUACUGGGAACACAGGGGACUCAGCUACUGCCAGAGGAGCAGAGGCCCCACAGACCCCUAGUCUAAGUUUCCACAGGACAAUAGCCCCAUUGCUCAGCCCCACUGCAAGAGCUUGCCUGUCUGCUUUUAUUUAUUUUUUAGUUUUAAAUAUUUGUGUGUGUGUAGUGGCUAUUGCUGGUUGUCGGCUUGACUGUAUCUGGAAUGAGCUACAAUCCGGAAUUGGAAGGCUCACCUGUGAUCCUGAUCUGGAGGCUGGGAGAUAGAAGUUUCUAACCUGGAUCUUGGUGUGGAGAUCUUGAGGCACAGUGGCUAUGAAUCCCAGGAGACUGCGGCAAGGAGAUCUCUGAGUUCAAGGUCAUCUGGGACAAAGCAAGUCCCAGAUCCAGGCGUGGUGGCACACACCUUUAAUCUUAGCCACACCUUCUAGUGGAGACCUACAUAAGGACAUUGAAAGAAGGAAGAUUCACCCUCUCUUGUUCACCUGCUUGCCUUGUGGGACUGAGCAACUUCUAGAUCCUUGGACUUCCAUUCACAGCUGCUGCUGAUCAUUGUUGGGGACUUGGACUACCAACUAUGACAUCAACAGCUGACGAUAACGUACCAAUAGCCCACAGGCCUCACACUCAGCUCCAGAAUUUACAAAAGAAAGCAAGAGAGAUGAACUUUGUCCCUAAUCCAGUCUCAGAAAGGGUCAGGAUGGAUACAGGAUAAUCAUAUUCACUAGCCAUGAUCAAUGAACCUGCUGCAAGAAGGCGAAGGGUCUGGAAGGAGAGAGGCGAGCUUGUCGGGGCGGCAUCGGUAAUUAUUUCCUUCAGGUCAGGGUCGCGGAGGUUUCUUGCAAAGAGAGUUGAGAACGUCUGCAGACACUGUUACACCGUGGGAUCGGUCCCAGGGUCAUCCCUGGGCUCCAGAGCACUUCGGGGCCUUCAUCCCUGGCUGCCUUGAAGCAGACUCCAGGAACACAGAGCCCCUGAAAUAAGAUCACAGAGGAAGAGCUGCAGGGAUUCUCAUCUGGCCCCCUUUCCCUGUCAAGGGUGACUGUCUUCAGCUCAUUUAACGAGGAGAGAACUCAGGACCAACCUGCAGCUGGGGGUCUGGCCCCCACACAGUCACAGCCCAGGCUGCAGUCUGGUUUCCCAGGACGAGGACAGGCAGCGAGUUGUUGCUGACGCCGGUGUGACCCUGGAGCCACCCCUCCCACAGAACAUUUGUCUUCUCCCCGACUGCCCUACGGCCCACGGGGCCGCAGCUCAUAUUUCCUGGGCUUUGGCGUGGGAGCAAAAAAACCGGGAGAGUCUGGCAGGAAUGAGGAAGAGCCUGUGGGGAGUCCCUCCUAGGUCUGCAGGCAGGACAUGUGCAGGAUGUGAGCUGGAGGCACCGUGGAGUCUUUCCUGGGUGCCAGGCACUAGGCUCUGGGCCUUCCUCGUAUCUGCACACAAUAAGAUUGCUCAGACUGGUCAAUUUCUCAUGCUCAAACCUGAGCUCUUGAUUUCGACACCGCCAAGGGUGGCUCUUUUCCCCUGUUGGCCAAGUUGCUCAGUGCACAGUGAGGUGGCUGCCCCGACAUCUCCCUCACACCCAAUCUGUCAGCAGACCAACAGGCUUUAUCUCAAGCAGACUUCACCUCUUCCUUCCACAGCUGACACCCUGGUGAGAAUCCAGGCUAUUUCCAGGGGGGGGAGGGGCACGGCCACCAUUGCCUGUCCCCACCUGGCCCCGGGCUUCUUGCCUUGCACCGACUUGCCACAGCUGGGAGGGAUCCGAAAUGCCAGAUCAUCCUGAGAGCAAAGUUGUCUCAGCCAUGGCCUGAGUGUCUGCCCAGUGGUCACCUCCUUUCUCUCUCUCUCAGUGCCCCCUCAGUGGCGUGACAGGAAUAGAACUGGUGGCCAACUCUCCCUGUGGAGUCCAGAGACCUGCUCAAGAGUGGCAUCAGUAUAAUGUGGGGGGUGCCCACCUAAGACAUUCCAGUGCUGCCUGGGCAGAGCCUGGCACUGGGCCUCUACAGCAGUACCGUGAGUGUGUGUCCCAUGGGUGCCCAGAGGCCAGAGGAGAGCAAGGUCGAAUCUAAGCACCCACGGCAGCAAUGCAUCGAUCCUGCUUCGUCCAUUUUGUCUCUGUGUCUUUCAAAGUUUCUGAAAUGAAACCUCACAGUGCUUUUCCUAUCAGGUACAAGGUGGUAAAUGUUAAAAAUCGCCUCUCUGGUCGGCUCCAGCAGUUAGCUACACAGUUAACAACAGCGACUGGCUACUCCAUCCUUAUGAGCCUGUCUCCUGAGAGCCUGGAGGAGCUCUGAUAAACGCCAUGAACAAGAGGCUUUCUGGGGAGGGAAGGUUCCUUUCGUCUCUCAGAUCGCAGGCCACCAUCAAGGGUGCCCAGGUAGAAACAGAAAGAUAACUGUGGAGGAGUGCCGCCCUCUGAUUGCUCCCAUGACUGGUUCUGCCUGCAUUCUCUUUUUUAAAAAGUUAUUUAUCCAUUUGGCUGAGGGAAGACCACAGAGUCACCAAGGCGCCAGGAGUGUGGGCACCGGCUUGUUUGCUGCCUUGCUUUGCAGGUCUGACAUGUGACCGGAGAGCCCCCGUGUUUCCUUUUGAUAGCAAACAAAAAGCACGCUCACCUAUUUAUUCUAAACGCUUUACUCAGAGCCAGAACUGUGUGUCCAUCUUGGAAAAUGAAGCCCGCAUGGUUUUGCUAUCUUGUCCCAUAGAUCAGAUCCUUAGACACAUUGUAUCC
rnacentral:lncRNA from 1 species